GGCGCCAUCGUCUAGUGGUCCAGGACAUCAGGUUCUCAUCCUGAAAAUCGCGGGUUCAAGUCCCGCUGGCGCCG
rnacentral:tRNA from 1 species